GCUGGGCGUGGUGGUGCAUGCCUGUAAUCCCAGCUACUUGGGAGGCUGAGGCAGGAGAAUCGCUUGAACCCGGGGAGGCAGAGGUUGUGGUGAGCCGAGAUCACGCCACUGCACUCCAGCCCGGGCAACAGAGCAAAACUCUGUCUCAA
ensembl:misc_RNA Metazoa_SRP Metazoan signal recognition particle RNA